rnacentral:rRNA from 1 species
AACGAACGCUGGCGGCAUGCCUAACACAUGCAAGUCGAACGAGACCUUCGGGUCUAGUGGCGCACGGGUGCGUAACGCGUGGGAAUCUGCCCUCUGGUUCGGAACAACAGUUGGAAACGACUGCUAAUACCGGAUAAUGACUUCGGUCCAAAGAUUUAUCGCCUGAGGAUGAGCCCGCGUCGGAUUAGCUUGUUGGUGAGGUAAAAGCUCACCAAGGCGACGAUCCGUAGCUGGUCUGAGAGGAUGAUCAGCCACACUGGGACUGAGACACGGCCCAGACUCCUACGGGAGGCAGCAGUGGGGAAUAUUGGACAAUGGGCGAAAGCCUGAUCCAGCAAUGCCGCGUGAGUGAUGAAGGCCUUAGGGUUGUAAAGCUCUUUUACCCGGGAUGAUAAUGACAGUACCGGGAGAAUAAGCCCCGGCUAACUCCGUGCCAGCCGCCGCCGUAAUAC